rnacentral:rRNA from 1 species
UGCCAGACUCCUACGGGAGGCAGCAGUGAGGAAUAUUGGUCAAUGGGCUUACGCCUGAACCAGCCAAGUCGCGUGAGGGAAGACUGCCCUAUGGGUCGUAAACCUCUUUUGUCAGGGAGCAAAGGCGUCCACGAGUGGACGAAAGGAGAGUACCUGAAGAAAAAGCAUCGGCUAACUCCGUGCCAGCAGCCGCGGUAAUACGGAGGAUGCGAGCGUUAUCCGGAUUUAUUGGGUUUAAAGGGUGCGUAGGCGGAGUGUCAAGUCAGCGGUAAAAUUUCGGGGCUCAACCCCGUCGUGCCGUUGAAACUGGCGUUCUUGAGUGGGCGAGAAGUAUGCGGAAUGCGUGGUGUAGCGGUGAAAUGCAUAGAUAUCACGCAGAACUCCGAUUGCGAAGGCAGCAUACCGGCGCCCAACUGACGCUGAAGCACGAAAGCGUGGGUAUCGAACAGGAUUAGAUACCCCGGUA